rnacentral:rRNA from 1 species
CCUACGGGUGGCAGCAGUCGAGAAUCAUUCACAAUGGGGGAAACCCUGAUGGUGCGACGCCGCGUGGGGGAAUGAAGGUCUUCGGAUUGUAAACCCCUGUCAUGUGGGAGCAAAUUAAAAAGAUAGUACCACAAGAGGAAGAGACGGCUAACUCUGUGCCAGCAGCCGCGGUAAUACAGAGGUCUCAAGCGUUGUUCGGAAUCACUGGGCGUAAAGCGUGCGUAGGCUGUUUCGUAAGUCGUGUGUGAAAGGCGCGGGCUCAACCCGCGGAUGGCACAUGAUACUGCGAGACUAGAGUAAGGGAGGGGGAACCGGAAUUCGCGGUGUAGCAGUGAAAUGCGUAGAUAUCGAGAGGAACACUCGUGGCGAAGGCGGGUUCCUGGACAUUAACUGACGCUGAGGCACGAAGGCCAGGGGAGCGAAAGGGAUUAGAUACCCGUGUAGUC